ACAGCAGCAGCCGCGGUAAUACGUAGGGUGCAAGCGUUAAUCAGAAUUACUGGGCGUAAAGCGUGCGCAGGCGGUUUGUUAAGACGGAUGUGAAAUCCCCGGGCUCAACCUGGGAACUGCAUUCGUGACUGGCAAGCUAGAGUAUGGCAGAGGGGGGUGGAAUUCCGCGUGUAGCAGUGAAAUGCGUAGAUAUCGGAAGGAACACCUGUGGCGAAAGCGGCUCACUGGACCAUUUCUGACGCUGAUGCACGAAAGCUAGGGGAGCAAACAGGAUUAGAUACCCGGGUAGUCCCUGUCUCUUAUAA
rnacentral:rRNA from 1 species